GGGGUUGUGGUUCAGCAGUAGAGCGCUCACCUAGCACGUGGGAGGCCCUGGGUUCAAUCCUCAGCGGCACAU
rnacentral:tRNA from 1 species